rnacentral:rRNA from 1 species
UACAGAGGGUGCGAGCGUUAAUCGGAAUUACUGGGCGUAAAGCGCGCGUAGGUGGCUAUGCAAGUCAGGUGUGAAAUCCCCGGGCUCAACCUGGGAACUGCAUUUGAGACUGCAUUGCUUGAGUAUGGGAGAGGGAAGUGGAAUUUCCGGUGUAGCGGUGAAAUGCGUAGAUAUCGAGCGGAACACCAGUGGCGAAGGCGGCCAACUGGACGAACACUGACGCUGAGACUCGAAAGCGUGGGGAGCAAACAGG